UUGACUUUUCAGAUUUUAUUUGUGAUUCCAAGCGAGAUCCUACAUUUAGUUUGCAGUGUGAACUUCCAGUAAGGAGGUCACGAUUCUGGGAACGGGGAAGACUGGUUGCAGAGAUGAUACAGGCACAUUCGCAGAGAUCACGGGCACAUGCAAUACCACCAAGUGGAGGAAGGUGACAUUUGAACAGGUCACCUGCUAAGUCUUCAACGGCAACUACCAGAGGAGAUGAAGAAGAGCUGUCUCCUGGAUGAAAUAUGAGAGUCAGCCUCUAAAACAACAAUAACACAAUAAAUAAAAAAAUUAUACAGCACCACAGCGCUUGUCGGACAUGGCAUGCCCUGAACUUUUUCAGAAAAUGGAACAAGGGAACGACAGACAUCUUUGAGGAG